UUUAUUAGUAUCAUUAUUAUUAUUUCAUUAUCAAAAUAUAAAUCUGUUUACACAAUUAUUAUUAAAUGCAAUAUUUAAUAUUAAUAAUUUUUUUGUAUUAUUGUUAUAUCAUGUAUGUAUAGACUAUGGAUGCCGAUAUAUAUUUCAAUAAUUUUUUAUAACGGAUAAAGUGUUACUGUUUUAUUGGUCACACGCGGUCAUGGGCUGUUGUCAAAAGUGGUAAAAUUUUUUUAUUAAAAUAAUAUUUUUCUAUCUAUAUAUGUACGAGGAAGCAAAAUUUAAAAGGAAAAAAAUAUGACAUCAGAUUUGACCUAAUUUUUUCCAUUUUGGUACUCCUCUGUUAUCUAUUGCUGGAAACAAAUAGCGGCUAGGGUUGUCUCUCUUGUUGCAUUCCCAAGCUUUCUUCUGUUUUGCCAAAUCCUUUCACCCUGACUCCCCUUUCCAUCAUGUUCUCAAUCUUCUCCACGCUACUUCUAUUUUCGUUUCUAAGCAGAUGGAGAUCGAUGGAAUAAUUAGCCCUGAAUUUGUCAUUCUUUAAGCGUCACUUGUCAUGAAAGUUGAGUGCUUUCUUAACCUAAUUCAGAAAAAUCACGUUAGGAUUUUUGUAUUAGUUGAAGAAAGCAUUCAAAUUGAUGAUAAGUGAUUACACAAGAAUAUGUGAACUGAAUUACUUACGCCACUUUCGUAAUGGGUAGUCAACAAAGCCUGAUCUGGUAAUGUACAGCCCAUUUAUUCACACUCUAUUUAAAGGUAGAGUUGCAAAGGAGGGUUAUGGUUUGUAUUCUGAAAUUAUUGCCAAGAGAAUUUUUCAUAAUCUUUUGAUCUAUAAUAGUGUAGUUUAUGGCUUUUUCAUUGCUGAUAAUUUACCAGAAGCUAUUCAUUAUGUAAAUGAAAUGAUAUUGAACUCUCUCGGACCGACAAGGUGCCGGCAGAGGACUUACUGCUGGAUCUGGUGUAAAUACCGUGCCGAUAGCCGGAAUGUGAUCGAUCCGUUUCAGAAGAACCUUAAUCAAUAUAAAGGUUAAUCUUAUGUUCGGAUUGGGCCUUCAGUGAUCCAUCGGUACAGCUACUAUCCCUAUAUAGUCAGGAGAGGAAGAAAAGGAAAAAAAAGUACCGAUGGUCGGAGUGUUAUUUUGACAGGUACCUUUUCUCUGAGGUUGAGAACUUAAUAUCCUGCGCAGUUAUGGUGAUAAUGGGACCAUGGAAGAACAUUUUGAAACUCACCAUGGAAUUCGGGGUGGAUGUUUAUACCUAUAAUUUCUUGAUAGAUGCAUUAUGCAAAGAAGGAAAGGUCAAAGAAGGCAAAAAUGUGUUAGCUCCAAACAAGCCAAAAUCCUGUUAGCUGAUAUGAAGAAAGCUGGUGUAAAACUUCUUAUUGUUAUCUUAACACAUUAGUGUAUGGGUAUUUCUUAGUUAAUGAAGUGAAAAAUGGGAAACAUGUAUUCAAAGUUAUGAUUCAAAUGGGAGUAACUCCUGGCUUUUCCAGCUAAAAUGUCACGAUUAAUGGACUAAUGAAAGAGUGGAUGAGGCCCUGAAUCUCUUUCAGGAGCAGUAUGGUUCCUGAGAUAGUGACUUAUACUUCUCUUAUCGAUGGUUCAUGCAAAUGUGAAAGAAUCUCUUCUGUUUGGAUCUUAUUGAUGAGAUGUAUGAUUGAAAUCAACAACCAGAUAGCUUAUCUGUAUUUUAGUAAUGAUUUUAAUGUAUUGCUGUGUUUUUAAUC